rnacentral:rRNA from 1 species
AGAGUUUGAUCCUGGCUCAGGAUGAACGCUAGCGGCAGGCCUAACACAUGCAAGUCGAGGGGCAGCAGACUACUUCGGUGGUGCUGGCGACCGGCGAACGGGUCAGUAACGCGUUUGUAACCUACCCCUAACUGUGGCAUAGCUCCCGGAAACGGGAAUUAAUUCCACAUAAUAUUUAAACAUGGCAUCAUGUUUUCAUUAAAGCUCCGGCGGUUAGGGAUGGGCAUGCGUGACAUUAGCUUGUUGGUAAGGUAACGGCUUACCAAGGCUACGAUGUCUCGGGGGUCUGAGAGGAUGAUCCCCCACACUGGUACUGAGACACGGACCAGACUCCUACGGGAGGCAGCAGUGAGGAAUAUUGGGCAAUGGACGCAAGUCUGACCCAGCCAUGCCGCGUGCAGGAUGAAUGCCCUAUGGGUUGUAAACUGCUUUUAUACAGGAAGAAACCCUCUGACGUGUCAGAGGUUGACGGUACUGUACGAAUAAGCAUCGGCUAACUCCGUGCCAGCAGCCGCGGUAAUACGGAGGAUGCAAGCGUUAUCCGGAUUUAUUGGGUUUAAAGGGUGCGUAGGCGGGGCAAUUAGUCAGUGGUGAAAUCCUGCGGCUUAACCGUAGAACUGCCAUUGAUACUGUUGCCCUUGAGUAUAGUUGAGGUGGGCGGAAUGUGUAAUGUAGCGGUGAAAUGCAUAGAGAUUACACAGAACACCAAUUGCGAAGGCAGCUCACUAAGCUAUAACUGACGCUGAGGCACGAAAGCGUGGGGAGCGAACAGGAUUAGAUACCCUGGUAGUCCACGCUGUAAACGAUGAUCACUCGUUGUUGGCAAUAUAUCGUCAGCGACUAAGCGAAAGCAUUAAGUGAUCCACCUGGGAGUACGAUCGCAAGAUUGAAACUCAAAGGAAUUGACGGGGGCCCGCACAAGCGGAGGAACAUGUGGUUUAAUUCGAUGAUACGCGAGGAACCUUACCUGGGCUUAAAUGCAGAACGACGUACCGGGAAACUGGUAUUCCCUUCGGGGCGGACUGCAAGGUGCUGCAUGGCUGUCGUCAGCUCGUGCCGUGAGGUGUCGGGUUAAGUCCCAUAACGAGCGCAACCCCUAUCGUUAGUUGCCAGCGGAUAAUGCCGGGGACUCUAACGAAACUGCCAGUGUAAACUGUGAGGAAGGUGGGGAUGACGUCAAGUCAGCACGGCCCUUAUGUCCAGGGCUACACACGUGUUACAAUGGCCGGAACAGAGGGCAGCUACCUGGUGACAGGAUGCAAAUCUCAAAAUCCGGUCUCAGUUCGGAUCGAAGUCUGCAACUCGACUUCGUGAAGGUGGAUUCGCUAGUAAUCGCGCAUCAGCAACGGCGCGGUGAAUACGUUCCCGGGCCUUGUACACACCGCCCGUCAAGCCAUGGAAGCUGGGGGUACCUGAAGUCUGCAAC